GACGAACGCUGGCGGCGUGCUUAACACAUGCAAGUCGAACGGAAAGGCCCUGCGUUUGUGGGGUGCUCGAGUGGCGAACGGGUGAGUAACACGUGAGUAACCUGCCCUUGACUUUGGGAUAACUUCAGGAAACUGGGGCUAAUACCGGAUAGGAGCUCCUGCUGCAUGGUGGUGGUUGGAAAGUUUCGGCGGUUGGGGAUGGACUCGCGGCUUAUCAGCUUGUUGGUGGGGUAGUGGCUUACCAAGGCUUUGACGGGUAGCCGGCCUGAGAGGGUGACCGGCCACAUUGGGACUGAGAUACGGCCCAGACUCCUACGGGAGGCAGCAGUGGGGAAUAUUGCACAAUGGGCGGAAGCCUGAUGCAGCAACGCCGCGUGCGGGAUGACGGCCUUCGGGUUGUAAACCGCUUUCGCCUGUGACGAAGCGUGAGUGACGGUAAUGGGUAAAGAAGCACCGGCUAACUACGUG
rnacentral:rRNA from 1 species